rnacentral:rRNA from 1 species
AAGCCGGAAUCGCUAGUAAUCGCGGAUCAGAAUGCCGCGGUGAAUACGUUCCCGGGUCUUGUACACACCGCCCGUCACACCAUGGGAGUCGGAAAUGCCCGAAGUCAGUGGCCCAACCGCGAGGGGGGAGCUGCCGAAGGCAGGUCCGGUGACUGGGGUGAAGUCGUAACAAGGUAAC